AGCUACUGAAGAAAAUCUCGCAAGCUCGUACGAGCUCUACCAGAUAGCUCAACGUGUACUACUUCAUUGCUAAAAUAAUAAGCCGAAAAAAAGAGAGAGUAAAAAGCACGCAAGAAUAAUAACAACCAACAACAACAACAAAAAAUAGAUACAAUUAGAUGCAUAUUUGCAAACAAGGGAGAAAAUAAAAAAAAGCUCGUCGCUAUCAAGCGAACUUGAAUGUAUGAGAGAGAAAGAAAGAAAGAGAGAGAGAGAGAGAAAGAUAGAGAGUGUGUGUGUGCGUGCGUGAGAGAGAGAAAGAAAGAGAGUACCGGUCGAUAAUGAGAUCCUUGUGCAAUUUCCUCAUCUAAGAAGAUAGAAGAAAAAAAAAAGCUAAGGUCAAAUGAAAGGAGUGUCUCGUCCUGGAUUAAAAGCUUUUUAGUGUUCCUCGUGUGAAUCCAGAGUGCUGAAGUUUGGUUAUCUUUAUCAUAGUAAAAAAUUAAAGAAGGGUAACAAGAAGAAAUAAGUGAAAUAAAAAAAUUUCGGGGGAACGUUUGCCGAACAACAGAGAAGGUUGUGGGAAGAAGAGAAGAGUUUUUUGUAUAGUAGUGUGGUCUCUCUGUAACCGUUUCUGGUACCCAUCGGUUGUUUUUCCAAGCUCUGUCGCAACGACGGCGGUCGAUCCAGAGCUCGAGGAAGCAAGUGGUAGGGAGGAGGCCGAGGCGCAGGAGGAGCAGCAGCAGCAAGAGGUGGUGGCGGCGGUGCCAGUGGCGGUGGUGGAGAAGUUGCUUGUGCUGCUGGUGGUAGUGGUGGAAAAAGAGGAAGAGAAAGAGGAAGAGAAAGAGGAAGAGAAAGAGGAAGAGAAAGAGGAAGAGAAAGAGGAAGAGAACGAGGAAGAGAAAGAGGAAGAGAAAGAGGAAGAGGUGAUUUCUACGUUCGAACGAGGAAGAUCGUGCUUCGUGCAUCUCCGCUGCGGAUCUCACGAUGACGGAUGGCUGUACGUACGUUCUUCCCUCCUUUGAAACACGACUGACUAGCGACGGGGACGAACGGAACCACUUCUCUGUACCUUGAUACGAUCUCGUGGGCGUGCGGGGGUGACUGGAGUGAUGGGAUGGGGCCAGAGCCCCAUGGAGUUCGGGUAGACCCGUCUCCGGCCCAGCUCCCCAGCCCCCUCCGCCAUAAAUAUCGCCACUGCUCCUGCCAAAGACGCAGAGGGCCCCCAAGAUCGCGAUGGAGGCCUCUAGCAAUCAACAAUUACAACAAAAAGAGAAGGAGUCACGUGUUCACAGGCCUUAUGCCUUUGAUAAGAUGGAGGGGCUGGUGCGGGAGAUGCAAGACCCUCAAAACGGGGUACCCGUGCGUAGCCAAAAACAAUUUCUCACCUUGAUCCCUUCAGCGUUCAUGGGUUACGAUCUCGUCGAGUGGCUUAUGGAUCGGCUUUCCAUCGAGGAAUCAGUAGAGGCGCUCCAUAUUGCUAAUCAACUAUGCCAGUAUGGCUACUUCUUCCCGGUGAACGACUCCAAGACGCUUACCGUUAAGGAUGAUAGCUCGCUAUAUAGAUUUCAGUCACCGUAUUAUUGGCCAUGGCAACAUAAGAAUCCUGACAACGUGGAAUACGCUAUUUAUUUGGCUAAACGAACAUUACGGAACAAACAACGUCACGCUCUUGAAGAUUACGAAACCGAAGCAUUAAACAGUCUACGGAAGAAUCUGCAAAAUAAAUGGGAUAUUAUACAACUGCAAGCCGAGGAACAGGCUCAGGUACGAUUAGCUAAAGACCGGAAGAAGGGGGAUAAGAUAGUAAGCGAUUCACAGGAAAGAGCAUUUUGGAGAGUUUACCGACCACCACCUGGUAGUCUUAGCAGUCUUGAAGUAGUUCCAGGACCAACACGUUUUCGUCCAGGACUACCACGUCCUCCUCCACGUAAACGAACUGUCGCUGAAUUACAACGAGAGGUGGACUUUCUUCAAAACAGUUUAACACGCACGAGAAUCAAGGUUUCAGCUGCUAUAGAAAAUUUGAAAUCAUAUUUUGAAACAUACGUGGAAUACGACCCGAUGUUUGUACAUCCGUUACCUUCAAAUCCGUGGAUCACAGAUGACAGUACAUUCUGGUCGUUAAAUAGUCCAGUGGUGGAAAUCCCCACGGAAAAGCGUGUCAAACGAUGGGAAUUAUCGAUGGAAGAACUUAUGUCCGAUCCAACAGGCUUACAAGAAUUCACGAAUUAUUUGAGAAAAGAAUACAGUCACGAAAAUAUUCGUUUUUGGUUGGCCGUUAAAGAUUUGAGACACAGUUAUCAAGCACAAAUACCGGAAAAGGUUAACGAAAUUUUCAGAGAAUUCCUGGCUCCGGGUGCACCUUGCGAGAUCAACAUAGAUGGAAAGACAAUGGAGAAGGUCCAUCAAGAGAUGAGAAAUCCCAGCAGAUUUACCUUCGAUUCAGCAGCCGAGCAUGUAUAUACAUUACUUCUGAAGAAGGAUUGUUAUCCCAGAUUUAUUCGCUCGGAUCAAUAUCGAAAUCUUUUAGCGGCCGGUGUACAACCAUUGCAAAAGAAAAGAUUCUUCAGCUUCGGUGGUCAAGCAAAAAAGAAAAUGGCGUCUAGCGCAAGUACUACGACGAGCACAUUGCAACAACAACAACAACAUGGUGGCAAUCUAGGAAGCAGUGGAGGUGGUACUGGUGGUGGUAGUGUUAGUAGUGGUGUUGGUGGUGUUGGUAGUGGUAGUGUUGGUGGUAGUGGUGGUGGUGGUGGUGGUAGAAGAAGAGGAAGCGAUCGAAGCCUCUCGGGAUCAGCUCACGAACUUGCUGUUUGUGGAGUUCGUGAAAUAAGUUCUACGCCGAGAGUCCCGCAUUCUCAUAGCCAAUCAAAUCUCACCGAUAUUCCAUACAGGGGUGAUCUGGCGCGACUCCUAAAGACCCCUACGAGGCCUAGUCCACAUAGUAUUCAGGAUGCUGGCGCCACGGAGGCGACGGUUCGCCCUAUGGACGACGUUUGCCCUUGGGACGCGAUCCCAGGGCCAAGUACAGAAACCGGGCCGGAUGCGGUGGCGGUGGUGACUGCGGCGGCAACGUUUGGAACGAACCCGUGGCCUGACACUACCCAGGAAUCCUGGGAAUAUGGGAACGACGUUACCAAAACGUCCAUACAUUUUAUCGACGUGGCUCGUCCAUCUCGAAAAAAUUCUUCACAAUUGGAUUCAUGCAGUUCCUCUUCCGAAGUCAGUCUUACUAUGACCGAAGUCUCGGACAGGUUGAGAAAAUCCUGCAGUCUUCAGCACAGUGCUGUUCCAACUGCCAGAACGGAACGUCAUGGUAUUGCUUCUGGAUCAGGUGGACAUACAAUUACCAGAAAUUAUUCAACUGGUUCUACUAGCAACAGAGUCAAACUUUCGGACAUUGGUCGGCCAUUAGCCACAUCAUGCAAUUUACCAUCGCCUCGGGAAUCAUUCGAGUAUAGCCAUGCGGCUGGUGAAAAAUUCGAGGCGACGAUAUCCGAGGCAACGAUCGAGGAACCAGAAACAUUAAUUAUAACUACAACGACUACAUCAUCGUUAGAAACAACGCAACAAAUGGACAAAGUUGUAACGUUAGAUGAAACGAAAAAAGGUACUAGAAGAUUAUCAACGAAAGCACCGUUGAUAAGCAUCAGUGCUAUAGUCGGAGACUUGCCAAGUGAUUCCGAGGGUAUUGGUACAACGACUGGCGACGUUACUACGCCGUCUAAAGAAACUCUAAUGGAAAUUGAAUUAGAGGAAGAUAAUCAAGAGAGAAAGGAAAUGGACAAAGAAAAAGAAACGGAAAUGAAGGAAGAAGAGAAGGAAACAUUAAAAGAUAAAGAUAAAGAAAAAGAAGAAGAUGAUGAAGAAGAAAAAGAAGAAGUGGUGAUGUUGUUGGAAAAGGAUGAUGAAAAAGUAAGCAAGGAAGUUGGUGUCGAAACACUACAAAAGGAUGAGCUCACUGAAGAAGCUCAGGUUGUUCCUGUUUGGGAGCCAGACACUCAACAGGAAGACCAAACGGCACCAACUACCACAGCUACAACAACCAGCACUGUAUCCACUCGGGAUAAGCGUGACAAUAAUGUUAACGAAGUGUGCCCGUGGGAGGACGAGUAUAAUUUCUCGUAGAGGCGUAGAAUCGAAGACUGAAAUGGAAGACGAGACGCGUUAAUAGAGUAUGAAGGGAGAACUGUAAAGUGGAUACAACCUAUGUAAAAACGUAUGCAACAUUAGGUUAUUUGUAACUUUAGCGUUAACGCGCUAUAAUAUUUACAUUUUACAUUAUCAAAAAAUAAAAAAACACAUUCACACACUAACAUUCAUAAAUUCGAUUAACAAUUUACUUCAUUUGUUAUAGUUGUUAUAACUGAUCUCGAGUGCAUGAACUUUCGUAUGGUUAUUUCUCGAAAUUCGAUAAAAGAUUAUGGUGUUAUAUCGAAUGAUCGAAAGAAAAAUCUUUAGAUAUCGGUCAAACAGAUUUGAUGAUCCAUGCACCAUCGAUAAAACAGAUUCGCGUAAAUCUUCGAAUUGCAUUUUGAAAGUUUCAAAGAUUCGAAUAAAUGAAAACGUUAGAUCUACGAAUUAGAAGAAUAUGAUUAUUAUAAACGAUCAUUUUAUAUUUUUAAAUUGAAAACAAAUUAAUACAAAUUGAUAUGGCCUAAAAUUUUGAUUUUUAUCGAUACGAUUAUCGACUGAGCCAUUAAAGCCAUUUUUAUCUUAACCUAAUAUUUUAUUCUUUUUUUUUCUUUUUUUUUUUAAUUUUAAAUUAAUUUUCAUAUUUUUUAGUUAUAAUAAUUUCAUGAAGAUUAUGAAAUAAACGAGAAAAUUGUUGUAAUACACAAAUUGUAUUAGAAAUAUGCAUUUAGUCUACGUUAAUAGUGCAGUAGUAGUGGUGUGUAAUAUUCAAAUGUUUCUGUGUCAAAAAAAAAGAAAGAAAAGAAAAAAAAA